rnacentral:lncRNA from 10 species
AAGAUUGAACUUGGACACCAAGGAUGAAAAAUGCCACACAGGCCUCCUGAGAAGGGCCCAGGGUAUGCCUAGUCAGCAGGAUUCAGUUCAGGGUACCAGAUUUUUACAGAUAUUUUAAUAAUGACUCUUAAAUUAUUGAAAUAAAUAUAGACAACCCCAAACCUUGGACACUGUAUAUAAAAAGAAACCUAAGAAGACUCUGAAAGGUAGAAAGAAGACAGACAGGCCAGGGACCUUGGGAACUGAAGAAUGACACACUGGUGAGUUCCUGGGGUUUUCCUCUUGGCUCAGAUAUCCCAGACUUGGAGCUAAAGAAACUGGAGACCCAGAAACACCAUGAGGCCUGAGCAGACAAACGGAGCCCCAACAAAAGUCCACUCUUUCUAGCCAGAGGACCAGGGAAGGGGCAGCCUAGCAAGACAGAAAACUCGAGACAGUAGCUACUUUCCUCCAGCCAAACACCUCUGCAGGAACUGUAGCCACACCCCCACCCACCACUCCAGCGGAGGCCCAAUGAGGGGCCUAGACAGUGACAAGGUACCCAGCACCCCAACAGGGUGGUGUCAAAGGGACUGUCAUCCCCAUUGGGGAUAAUGAGCUACUAAGCUUUUCAAUGGAGGCUUUUCAGUG